GACGAACGCUGGCGGCGUGCCUAAUACAUGCAAGUCGAACGCAGUGGGGACGGGUGAGUACCACGUGGGUAACCUCCCAUCAGAGGGGAUAACACUUGGAAACAGGUGCUAAACCGAUACUGAUGGAUGGACCCGCGUUGCAUUAGCUAGUUGGUGAGGUAACGGCUCACCAAGGCCACGAUGCAUAGCCGACCGGGGAGGGUGAUCUGCCACACUGGGACGGAGACACGGCCCAGACUCCUACGGGAGGCAGAGGGAGGGAAUCUUCGGAAAUGGACGAAAGUCUGACCGAGAAACGGCGCGUGAGUGAAGAAGUUUUUCGGAUCGUAAAACUCUGUUGUUAGAGAAGCGGUAACUAACCAGAAAGGGACGGCUAACUACGUGCCAGCAGCCGCGGUAAUAC
rnacentral:rRNA from 1 species